AUCACCCCCAGUAAAGAUGGAGAGAAUAAGGGUGGGAGGAUUGGGAGAACAGCUGUGUGCUAUAGCACAUUGACCUUGAAGGUCAGUAUCAGGUUAACAAGGCCUUUAGAUUCACAUUUCUGGCCCUUUCCAUGUGAAGGGCACAUCUGAAGCUGGCUGCAGUCACUGGAAGGUGCUGAUGUGACCAUGGAGCAGUGCUGUGUAACCACACCACCCAAAAAGCACGGAGUGGAAAAAUGUCACUCACAUCGCAGAGAUGGAGAAGCAACAGAAUUCCUGAGUCUGGGGAGGAGAGCUACAAACCGGAUAGACUUUGCUGGGGUGGCUGUGAGGACGUCGCUGGUGGAUCGCCUCGUGGUAAAGCACAGCCACUCAGAUGAAGAAAAGCAUGAACUGUAAACAAAGGACUGCAAGAAAUGAAUGCGCUGUGCUACAGAGGGACGUCCAGGAACGCAUUAUUCAUUGGGAGUCUGCUGUCUGCACGAUCCAGAGCCUGAAAAUUAAUUCCAUAUAGAACGAUCUGGAUUGUAGGAAGAAGGAAGAGGAGG
rnacentral:lncRNA from 1 species